CUCUCAGUUUCCCUCCUUUUCUCAUCUCUAUUUCAAUAAGUAGAUUCAUUGUUGGGUUUUUCUGAGAAUUUUCAUCCUCCUAACAUCAAGACAAGGGAUGGAUGCGCGGAAAAAUGCAUAUUUCACAAAUCUCUUACAAGAUGGUUUGAUCUUAGAAGAUGAACUCUCAAUGGAGCCUCAAGAUGAAGUUGGAUUUACUUAUGCAAAUCAAAAUGCAGAAGAGUUCACCCAACCAUCUCAAACCUCAACUCAAAUGGGAUCCACUUCUAAGAAACCGCAACGUGGUGGCAACUUCAUCGAUGAAGAAGACAAAUUGCUUGUAUCGGCAUAUCUGAAUAUAAGCUUGGAUGCCGUGCAAGGGAAUGACCAGAAACGUAAAACAUAUUGAGAAGAGUGUGGGAUUAUUUCCACGAGCACAAGUCUUUCAUUUCUGAGCGUAAUGAGAACUCUCUAAUGAACAGGUGGUCAGCGAUUCAACUUUCUGUUAACAAGUUCUGUGGAUGCUAUGCUCAAAUUGAAUUGAGGCAUCAAAGUGGUGUGACCGAGGAAGACAAGGUCUCUGAAGCAAAAACUUACUACAAGUCACUCAAUACCUCAAAAAAUAGCUCAUUUCAGUUUGAACACUGUUGGAAACAGUUGAGGUACCAACCAAA